CACUAUACUCCAGUGACACCAGUCUACUUUCUGUUUUUUCAACAUGAUAGUUUUGUUUUCCUAUUAAGCUUUCUCAAUUGCUUGUUUCCCUGUCUGGAACUCUCUUAUCUCAAAUCUUUCUCCAGAUCUUCACGUGGCGGACUCUUCAUUGUCUAGGAAACCAGAUAAUAUACUGAUUAACAGUACUGGCUAGAUGGUAGAAAAAAAACAAAAAACAAAACAAACAGCAACAACAAAAAGUACUGGCUAGAUGUUCUUAACUUAGAUUUUUGCAUAUUUUUUGUUAAGCUUUUUAUUUUGAGACAAUUAUAGAGUCACAUGCAGUUUUAAGAAGUAACAGAGAGAGAUCCCUUACCCAGUUUGCCCCAGUGGUACCAUCUUCAAAACUCUAGUACAUCAUAACCACCGUAUUUGUGUUGAUUCAGUCAAGACACAGAACGUUUCCAUCACCACAAAGAUCCUUCAUGUUACUCUUUUAUAGCUGCCCCACUUCCCUCCC
rnacentral:lncRNA from 1 species